rnacentral:tRNA from 1 species
AGUGUAGCGGUUAGCACGUCUGCUUUACAUGCAGAAGGUCCUGGGUUCGCGCCCAG